rnacentral:rRNA from 1 species
UAACCUGCCUGGUAGCGGGGGAUAACUAUUGGAAACGAUAGCUAAUACCGCAUAAGAGUAGAUGUUGCAUGACAUUUGCUUAAAAGGUGCAAUUGCAUCACUACCAGAUGGACCUGCGCUGUAUUAGCUAGUUGGUGGGGUAACGGCUCACCAAGGCGACGAUACAUAGCCGACCUGAGAGGGUGAUCGGCCACACUGGGACUGAGACACGGCCCAG